GCGUAGGUAACCUGCCUGGUAGCGGGGGAUAACUAUUGGAAACGAUAGCUAAUACCGCAUAACAGUAGAUGUUGCAUGACAUUUGCUUAAAAGGUGCAAUUGCAUCACUACCAGAUGGACCUGCGUUGUAUUAGCUAGUUGGUGGGGUAACGGCUCACCAAGGCGACGAUACAUAGCCGACCUGAGAGGGUGAUCGGCCACACUGGGACUGAGACACGGCCCAGACUCCUACGGGAGGCAGCAGUAGGGAAUCUUCGGCAAUGGACGGAAGUCUGACCGAGCAACGCCGCGUGAGUGAAGGAGGUUUUCGGAUCGUAAAGCUCUGUUGUAAGAGAAGAACGAGUGUGAGAGUGGAAAGUUCACACUGUGACGGUAUCUUACCAGAAAGGGACGGCUAACUACGUGCCAGCAGCCGCGGUAAUACGUAGGU
rnacentral:rRNA from 1 species